rnacentral:rRNA from 1 species
GACGAACGCUGGCGGCGUGCUUAACACAUGCAAGUCGAACGGAAAGGCCCCUUCGGGGGUACUCGAGUGGCGAACGGGUGAGUAACACGUGAGUAACCUGCCCUUGACUUCGGGAUAACUUCAGGAAACUGGGGCUAAUACCGGAUAGGAAUCCUUGCUGCAUGGUGGGGGUUGGAAAGCUUCGGCGGUUUUGGAUGGGCUCGCGGCUUAUCAGCUUGUUGGUGGGGUAGUGGCUUACCAAGGCUUUGACGGGUAGCCGGCCUGAGAGGGCGACCGGCCACAUUGGGACUGAGAUACGGCCCAGACUCCUACGGGAGGCAGCAGUGGGGAAUAUUGCACAAUGGGCGGAAGCCUGAUGCAGCAACGCCGCGUGCGGGAUGACGGCCUUCGGGUUGUAAACCGCUUUCAGCAGGGGCGAAGCUUGUGGUGACGGUACCUGCAGAAGAAGCACCGGCUAACUACGUG